UACGUAGGGUGCGAGCGUUGUCCGGAUUUAUUGGGCGUAAAGAGCUCGUAGGCGGCUUGUCGCGUCGGAUGUGAAAGCCCGGGGCUUAACUCCGGGUCUGCAUUCGAUACGGGCAGGCUAGAGUGUGGUAGGGGAGAUCGGAAUUCCUGGUGUAGCGGUGAAAUGCGCAGAUAUCAGGAAGAACACCCGUGGCUAAGGCGGCUCUCUAGUACGGUACUGACGCUGAGACGCGAAAGCGUGGGGAGCGAACAGG
rnacentral:rRNA from 1 species